AGCAUGUGGUUAAUUCGAUGGUACGCGAGGAACCUUACCUGGGUUUGACAUACAGGGGGAUGUGGCAGCGAUGUCACAGACUGGAACAGUACCUGUACAGGUGCUGCAUGGCUGUCGUCAGCUCGUGCCGUGAGGUGUUGGGUUAAGUCCCGGCAACGAGCGCAACCCCCUACUGCCAGUUACUAACAGGUAACGCUGAGGACUCUGGCGGAACUGCCGGUGACAAACCGGAGGAAGGUGGGGAUGACGUCAAGUCAUCAUGGCCCCUAUGUCCAGGGCUACACACGUGCUACAAUGGGCGAUACAGAGUGACGCGAAGCCGCGAAGUGGAGCAAAUCGCAGAAAAUCGCUCUCAGUUCGGAUUGGAGUCUGAAACCCGACUCCAUGAAGGUGGAAUCGCUAGUAAUCGCGCAUCAGCAUGGCCGCGGUCGAAUACGUUCCCGGGCCUU
rnacentral:rRNA from 1 species